CCAGUGCACAAGAUCUCGAGCCCGGUUUAUUCUCUUACAAAGAAAGAACACAGGUUGGUGAGAUAGGUCAGUUGGUAAAAUGCCAGUUGUGCAAGCUUGAGGACUCAAGUUCAAUCCUCAGAACCCAUGUUUUAGUUUGUUGUAAAAAAAAAAAAAAUCCAGGUGGCAGUACACAGCUUUAAUCCCAGUAUUCAGGAGGCAGAGGCAGGUGGAUCUCUGUGAGUUCGAGGCCAGCCCGGUCUAACAGAAAGAGUUCCAGGACAGCCAAUCAGUCAGUGCUACACAGAGAAACCCUGUCUCGAAAAAACAAAACAAAACAAACAAAAAGCUGGUAUGAUGGUGUGCAUUUAUAAUCCCAGCUCUGGGGAAGGGUGGGGCAGAGACAGGCAGAUCCCAGGGACUAGCUUGCAGAAUCAUUAGUCCCUGGGGCCAAUAAAAGACCCGCUCUGUCUCAGAGAAGUAGGAGGAGAACACAGAGUUUCAAGGAGGGGGCUGAAGAGCUAGAGUAGGAAGCUAAAUGUUUCUCCUAGGGUAAUUAGGAUUCAGACCGGGAGUCACUGGGACACAACCAGAUGCUGACUUUCUGUGCAGAGACAUAGCUGUUAGAGAAUCUAGUUCUCGUGUCCAAGUUCCAGCUUCUCCGUGCAACGAGUGGGAACUAUGGGUGGCACCCUAGUGAGUCCAUCACAGACAUCUCACUUAGCCCGAUACCACCUUAUUCUGCAUCAGAGCCACCUCAGGCACAGAGGAGAUGAGAUGGUCCGCAGAAUUUGAUGGGCACCAGCUAGAUGUUGUGGCUCAUGUCUGUCAUCCUAGCAUUUGGGAGGCUGAGGCGGGAGGAUUUCUAUGAAUUCCAGGCCAGCCUGGGCUAGAAUAGGAUAUUGUCUCAACAAACGAACAAACUAGUAUGUGACAGGCACCCAAAGCUGUUCGCCUGCCUCUGCAUCUUCAAGGACCCAGGAAGUGAGAGCCACUAUUCCCAUCUCACUUUCUUGGGCAAGCCACUCAGCUUCCAGAUCGGAGUCUGUUUCCAGAGGUGUGUCCAAAGAUGUUGGGGAAGGGUUUACACAUGCAGUAAGAUGUGGGUAAUGGUGCAUGGGCUGAGGAAGUGCAGGAGAUCUAGGUUCUACUUAGGAGGGACCACACCACGUGUGAUGAAGUCAGUGGCUCACAUCUUCCACCCACUGGCUUUCCCCCCUCACUGAGCAAUGACCCCUCCCACAGGGGAGAUGUGGGACAGAGGGGAUCAGGUGGAACCACUUCCGGCUUUCUGCUGCACACACAAAUACCAGGAUGGCACCAGGGACUGUUCCCAGUGCUGUUGAACCUCCUGUGUCAACACAAUAGAACUUCAUCCUCUUCCUGUGAAUUAACACAGAUACACUAAAAGACAAAAUGACAAUCAGUCAUUGACAGGGGAGACCUACAGUCCCUGCCCACCACUGGCCUUGGAUGUCCCUAGAACAGUGGUUCUCAACCUAUCUGUCGAGCCCCCUUUGGAGGUUGGACAACCCUUUCUCAGGGGUCACAUAUCACAUAUCCUGAAUCUCGGAUAUUUACAUUACCAUUCUUAACAGUAGCAAAAUCACAGUUAAGAAGCAGCAACGAAAAUAAUUUUAUGUCUGGGGAUCACCACAACAUGAAGAACUGUAUUAAAGGGUCACACAGCAUUAGGAAGGUUGAGAACCACUGCCCCGGAGGAAAAGAAGUACCCAAGAAAGAGAAGAAGGAGUUGCAAAAGUCUCUGCUAAGCUCCACUAAUCCUGGCUGUACUGUCUAAUAAGCUCCAGCUUUGCACAUAUACAAAGACAGCAGAGAGGAAAAUGACCAAGAGGAAGCAAGAGCUAUGCCUGCCUCCAAGGGAAAAGAACUUAAACUUCUAGUAAUGAAAAGAUUGCAGAAUGUGGACAAGAGUAGAAACAGAAGCAUCUGGAGCUGUGGGCCCCACUGUUUGACUCACAAGUCCUGUGACACAAGUGUCU
rnacentral:lncRNA from 1 species